UGUGACCUCAAAUCAGGUAGGACUACCCGCUGAACUUAAGCAUAUCAAUAAGCGGAGGAAAAGAAACUAACAAGGAUUCCCCUAGUAACUGCGAGUGAAGCGGGAAAAGCUCAAAUUUAAAAUCUGGCGGUCUUUUGGCUGUCCGAGUUGUAAUCUAGAGAAGUGUUAUCCGCGCUGGACCGUGUACAAGUCUCCUGGAAUGGAGCAUCAUAGAGGGUGAGAAUCCCGUCUUUGACAUGGACUGCCAGGGCUUUGUGAUGCGCUCUCAAAGAGUCGAGUUGUUUGGGAAUGCAGCUCAAAAUGGGUGGUAAAUUCCAUCUAAAGCUAAAUAUUGGCGAGAGACCGAUAGCGAACAAGUACCGUGAGGGAAAGAUGAAAAGAACUUUGGAAAGAGAGUUAAACAGUACGUGAAAUUGCUGAAAGGGAAACGCUUGAAGUCAGUCGCGUCGUCCAGGGAUCAACCUUGCUUUUGCUUGGUGCACUUCCUGGUUUGACGGGUCAGCAUCAAUUUUGACUAUUGGAAAAAGAUCAAGGGAAUGUGGCAUCCUUGGAUGUGUUUAUAGCCUUUGGUCACAUACAAUGGUUGGGAUUGAGGAACUCAGCACGCCGCAAGGCCGGG
rnacentral:rRNA from 1 species